GACGUAGGGGGCGAGCGUUGUCCGGAUUUAUUGGGCGUAAAGCGCGCGUAGGCGGCCGCUCAAGUCGGAUGUGAAAAUCCGGGGCUCAACCCCGGACCUGCAUUCGAUACUGGGUGGCUAGAGGCAGGUAGGGGAGAGCGGAAUUCCUGGUGUAGCGGUGAAAUGCGCAGAUAUCAGGAGGAACACCGGUGGCGAAGGCGGGUCUCUGGGCAGUAACUGACGCUGAGGAGCGAAAGCGUGGGGAGCGAACAGG
rnacentral:rRNA from 1 species